GGCUAACUACGUGCCAGCAGCCGCGGUAAUACGUAGGGUGCAAGCGUUGUCCGGAAUUAUUGGGCGUAAAGAGCUCGUAGGCGGUUUGUCGCGUCUGCUGUGAAAUUUCGAGGCUCAACCUCGAACUUGCAGUGGGUACGGGCAGGCUAGAGUGCAGUAGGGGAGAUGGGAAUUCCUGGUGUAGCGGUGGAAUGCGCAGAUAUCAGGAGGAACACCAAUGGCGAAGGCACAUCUCUGGGCUGUAACUGACGCUGAGGAGCGAAAGCGUGGGGAGCGAACAGGAUUAGAUACCCUGGUAGUCCACGCCGUAAACGGUGGGUGCUAGCUGUGGGCCACAUUCCACGUGGUCCGUGACGAAGUUAACACAUUAAGCACCCCGCCUGGGGAGUACGGCCGCAAGGCUAAAACUCAAAGGAAUUGACGGGGGCCCGCACAAGCGGCGGAGCAUGCGGAUUAAUUCGACGCAACGCGAAGAACCUUACCAAGGCUUGACAUAUACAGGAAAAGCGUAGAAAUACGCUCCCCGCAAGGUCUGUAUACAGGUGGUGCAUGGUUGUCGUCAGCUCGUGUCGUGAGAUGUUGGGUUAAGUCCCGCAACGAGCGCAACCCUCGUCCUAUGUUGCCAGCACGUAAUGGUGGGAACUCAUGGGAUACUGCCGGGGUCAACUCGGAGGAAGGUGGGGAUGACGUCAAAUCAUCAUGCCCCUUAUGUCUUGGGCUUCACGCAUGCUACAAUGGCCGGUACAGAGGGCUGCAAUACCGUAAGGUGGAGCGAAUCCCAAAAAGCCGGUCUCAGUUCGGAUUGAGGUCUGCAACUCGACCUCAUGAAGUCGGAGUCGCUAGUAAUCGUAGAUCAGCAACGCUACGGUGAAUACGUUCCCGGGC
rnacentral:rRNA from 1 species